rnacentral:rRNA from 1 species
AAGAACCUUACCUGGUCUUGACAUCCACGGAAGUUUUCAGAGAUGAGAAUGUGCCUUCGGGAACCGUGAGACAGGUGCUGCAUGGCUGUCGUCAGCUCGUGUUGUGAAAUGUUGGGUUAAGUCCCGCAACGAGCGCAACCCUUAUCCUUUGUUGCCAGCGGUCCGGCCGGGAACUCAAAGGAGACUGCCAGUGAUAAACUGGAGGAAGGUGGGGAUGACGUCAAGUCAUCAUGGCCCUUACGACCAGGGCUACACACGUGCUACAAUGGCGCAUACAAAGAGAAGCGACCUCGCGAGAGCAAGCGGACCUCAUAAAGUGCGUCGUAGUCCGGAUUGGAGUCUGCAACUCGACUCCAUGAAGUCGGAAUCGCUAGUAAUCGUGGAUCAGAAUGCCACGGUGAAUUCGUUCCCGGGCCUUGUACACACCGCCCGUCACACCAUGGGAGUGGGUUGCAAAAGAAGUAGGUAGCUUAACCUUCGGGAGGGCGCUUACCACUUUGUGAUUCAUGACUGGGGUGAAGUCGUAACAAGGUAACCGUAGGGGAACCUGCGGUUGGAUCACCUCCUUA